rnacentral:rRNA from 1 species
AAGAGAUGGCGACCGGCGCACGGGUGAGUAACACGUAUCCAACCUGCCGAUAACUCCGGAAUAGCCUUUCGAAAGAAAGAUUAAUACCGGAUGGCAUACGAAUAUCGCAUGAUAUUUUUAUUUAAAGAAUUUCGGUUAUCGAUGGGGAUGCGUUCCAUUAGUUUGUUGGCGGGGUAACGGCCCACCAAGACUACGAUGGAUAGGGGUUCUGAGAGGAAGGUCCCCCACAUUGGAACUGAGACACGGUCCAA